rnacentral:sRNA from 1 species
GUCCGUGCCGCAGCGGAAGCUUGCGGCUCUUUCGUCGGCUAUCCUGCGCGCCAGCGUGUUCGCAUCGGCAUUGGCGAGCGCGUCGACAU